CCUACGGGUGGCUGCAGUGGGGGAUAUUGCACAAUGGGGGGAACCCUGAUGCAGCGACGCCGCGUGGGCGAAGAAGCGCCUCGGCGCGUAAAGCCCUGUCAGCCGGGAAGAAAAUGACGGUACCUGUAGAAGAAGCCCCGGCUAACUACGUGCCAGCAGCCGCGGUAAUACGGAGGGGGCAAGCGUUAUCCGGAUUUACUGGGGGUAAAGGGGGCGCAGACGGCAGUGCAAGCCAGGAGUGAAAGCCCGGGGCCCAACCCCGGGACUGCACUUGGAACUGCGUGGCGGGAGUGCAGGAUGGGCAGGCGGAAUGCCUGGUGUAGCGGUGAAAUGCGUAGAUAUCAGGAGGAACACCGGUGGCGAAGGCGGCCUGCUGGACUGCAACUGACGUUGAGGCCCGAAAGCGUGGGGAGCAAACAGGAUUAGAUACCCUGGUAGUC
rnacentral:rRNA from 1 species